rnacentral:rRNA from 1 species
GACGAACGCUGGCGGCGUGCUUAACACAUGCAAGUCGAACGGAAAGGCCCUGCUUUUGUGGGGUGCUCGAGGGGCGAACGGGUGAGUAACACGUGAGUAACCUGCCCUUGACUUUGGGAUAACUUCAGGAAACUGGGGCUAAUACCGGAUAGGAGCUCCUGCCGCAUGGUGGGGGUUGGAAAGUUUCGGCGGUUGGGGAUGGACUCGCGGCUUAUCAGCUUGUUGGUGGGGUAGUGGCUUACCAAGGAUUUGACGGGUAGCCGGCCUGAGAGGGUGACGGCCCACAUGGGCUGUGAGAUACGGCCAGACUCCACCGGGAGGCAGCGGUGGGGAAUAUUGCACAAUGGGGGGAAGCCUGAUGCAGCACCGCCGCGUGCGGGAUGAGGGCCUUCGGGUUGUAAACCGCUUUCGCCUGUGACGAGGCGUGAGUGACGGUAAUGGGUAAAGAAGCACCGGCUAACUACGUG